rnacentral:rRNA from 1 species
GACGAACGCUGGCGGCGUGCUUAACACAUGCAAGUCGAACGGGCCUUGUCCCCUUUUUUUUGGGGGUGGGGUUAGUGGCGAACGGGUGAGUAACACGUGAGUAACCUGCCCCUCACUUCUGGAUAACCGCUUGAAAGGGUGGCUAAUACGGGGUGUUCUGGCCUGCUCGCAUGGGUGGGUUUGGAAAGAUUCGACCGGUUUUGGUUGUUUUGGUGGGGGAUGGGCUCACGGCCUAUCAGCUUGUUGGUGGGGUGAUGGCCUGCCAAGGCUUUGACGGGUAGCCGGCCUGAGAGGGUGGGCGGUCACACUGGGACUGAGACACGGCCCAGACUCCUACGGGAGGCAGCAGUGGGGAAUAUUGCACAAUGGGCGCAAGCCUGAUGCAGCGACGCCGCGUGAGGGAUGGAGGCCUUCGGGUUGUGAACCUCUUUCGCCAGUGAAGAAGGUCCUGCUCUUUGUGGUGGGGUUGACGGUAGCUGGGUUAAUGAAGCGCCGGCUAACUACGUG